UCCAAGGAAGGCAGCAGGCGCGCAAAUUACCCACUCCCGGCACGGGGAGGUAGUGACGAAAAAUAACGAUACGGGACUCAUCCGAGGCCCCGUAAUCGGAAUGAGUACACUCUAAACCCUUUAACGAGGAUCAAUUGGAGGGCAAGUCUGGUGCCAGCAGCCGCGGUAAUUCCAGCUCCAAUAGCGUAUAUUAAAGUUGUUGCGGUUAAAAAGCUCGUAGUCGAAUCUGUGUCUCGCGCCGCCGGUUCAUCGCUCGCGGUGUUUAACUGGCGUGUCGCGGGACGUCCUGCCGGUGGGCUUAGCUCUCGGUCCUCCGGGCCGUAGGGCGGCCCAACUUCACAAUCCCACCGCGGUGCUCUUCGCUGAGUGUCGAGGUGGGCCGGCACGUUUACUUUGAACAAAUUAGAGUGCUUAAAGCAGGCUAAAACUUCGCCUGAAUAUUCUGUGCAUGGAAUAAUGGAAUAGGACCUCGGUUCUAUUUUGUUGGUUUUCGGAACCCCGAGGUAAUGAUUAAUAGGAACGGAUGGGGGCAUUCGUAUUGCGACGUUAGAGGUGAAAUUCUUGGAUCGUCGCAAGACGGACGGAAGCGAAAGCAUUUGCCAAAAACGUUUUCAUUGAUCAAGAACGAAAGUUAGAGGUUCGAAGGCGAUCAGAUACCGCCCUAGUUCUAACCAUAAACGAUGCCAGCUAGCGAUCCGCCGACGUUCCUCCGAUGACUCGGCGGGCAGCUUCCGGGAAACCAAAGCUUUUGGGUUCCGGGGGAAGUAUGGUUGCAAAGCUGAAACUUAAAGGAAUUGACGGAAGGGCACCACCAGGAGUGGAGCCUGCGGCUUAAUUUGACUCAACACGGGAAACCUCACCAGGCCCGGACACCGGAAGGAUUGACAGAUUGAGAGCUCUUUCUUGAUUCGGUGGGUGGUGGUGCAUGGCCGUUCUUAGUUGGUGGAGCGAUUUGUCUGGUUAAUUCCGAUAACGAACGAGACUCUAGCCUGCUAACUAGGCGUACCUUCGACAUCUCAAAGGCCUCGCGAUCCGGCGAUUUCUCGUCGCGGUCGUGUUGGUUUUUACUGUCGGCGUACAUUCAAUUCUUCUUAGAGGGACAGGCGGCUUCUAGCCGCACGAGAUUGAGCAAUAACAGGUCUGUGAUGCCCUUAGAUGUUCUGGGCCGCACGCGCGCUACACUGAAGGAAUCAGCGUGUCCUCCCUGGCCGAGAGGCCCGGGUAACCCGCUGAACCUCCUUCGUGCUAGGGAUUGGGGCUUGCAAUUGUUCCCCAUGAACGAGGAAUUCCCAGUAAGCGCGAGUCAUAAGCUCGCGUUGAUUACGUCCCUGCCCUUUGUACACACCGCCCGUCGCUACUACCGAUUGAAUGAUUUAGUGAGGUCUUCGGACCGGUACGCGGCGGCGCAUCCGCGUCGCCGAUGUUGCUGGGAAGAUGACCAAA
rnacentral:rRNA from 1 species